GAGGGUAUAGCUCAGUGGUAGAGCGUGUGCUUAGCCUGCACCAUGUCCUGGGUUCAAUCCCUAGUACCUCCA
rnacentral:tRNA from 1 species